rnacentral:rRNA from 1 species
AACGAACGCUGGCGGUAUGCUUAACACAUACAAGUCGAACGAGAAAGCUUCUUCGGAAGUGAUUAAAGUGGCGCACGGGUGAGUAACACGUAGAUAACCUACCCUUAAGUCCGGGAUAACUUUCUGAAAAGAGGGCUAAUACCGGAUAAUACUAGAGAUCUAGUGUUUUCUAGUUGAAAGAUUUAUCGCUGAAGGAUGGGUCUGCGUACCAUUAGCUGGUUGGUAGGGUAAAGGCUUACCAAGGCAUUGAUGGUUAGCGGGUCUGAGAGGAUGAUCCGCCACACUGGAACUGAGACACGGUCCAG